AUUUUGCCUCCCACACUUCAAAAAAAAGAGCUUUUUUUGCACAAAGGGUAUUUGGUUCCCCCCAUUUUCCCACCAACUUUCCCUAUAAAUAGUAGCACUAUUCCCCUUCAUUUUUCAUGCUUUCUAGCCCCCAAAAUUGAUGAAAAAAUAUCAUUCAACCCCUCUUCUCCAAACCUAAAUCAAAACCCAAAAAACUUUUCCCUCCCAAAAGUCACCACUACCAACUUUUUUCCAUUUCACAUUUUUUUCCUCAAAGUUUCUCACUCUCUAACACUCAUAACCCAACCCUUUUACUAAGCUUUCACCACAAAUAUUUUCAUCCCAAACCCCUUACUUCACAUUCAAGUUCAACACCAUUUCUACCUAGCUUUUUUUCAUAUUUUGUGGGUAAUGACUUUAACUUAAACUUUUUAACUUUUUGUUCCUUUUUUUUGAUUAAAAAUGAUUGCUUGUUCUUGGUUGGUCUUUUGAGAUGGUUUAGAUUCAAGCUUGCAAAAAAAGAUUGACUUUGGUUUACUCACCCUUUUUUAAAGAUUUUUUA
rnacentral:lncRNA from 1 species